rnacentral:lncRNA from 10 species
CUUAGGACUAUAAGCUGAAGUAGAACUAGAAAGUCCAGCCAUACCUAAGUCCAAGCUAGCCACUCUGGUCCUUUUCUCUGUUGUAUUCCAUUAAAGACCCUGAUAUCUGGGACUAGAGUUCCUGAGCACUCUAUACCCAUGACCUGGUCUGGAAGCAGCUCUUCUUAGCUGUCCUAUCAUGCCACAGUAACUCCGGGUCUCUGAGACAAGUGUCCUGAAACUCUUGAGUUCUCACAUGCCCUUUCAUCUUUCCCUCUUUUUUGAUCAAUCCAACCAAUUCAUGGCUUCCUGUUGAAUGUUAUUUUAUAAUAAUAUGGUUUAUGUUAUUAACACUCUUUAAUGUUAUUCAAGCCCAUCUUCUAUCAUGUCAUUGCUUAAAAAGCCUCAACAGUUCCUUAGGGUCAAGCCCACUGUGUGUGAGCUUCUUAACUGGGCAUUUAGAAUCCUCUCCAAUAUCCUCCACUACCUAUGAUUUAUAUUUUAGCCAAAAUGGACCCUUUAUAAUCUUGAACUUCAUUGCAUGUCUGCACUUCUAUACCAGUGCUGAAUCCCAAACUGAAAUCUGGUUCAUAUUUCAUGAAACAGCUGGUUUUUACACCCACAUCUUGAAAUCUCUUUCUAUUCCCUCACCUAGAUACAAACUCUUCAAGGGGCCAGUAGAGUAUAGUGGCUAAAAUCUUGGAUUCUAAAACCCAGCUGUCAAGGUUCAAAUCCCAGCCACACCAUGUGCUGACUGUGAGAUCAUAUACAAGUCUCUUUUCACUUCACAUCUGUUUCCUUAUCUGGAAAAUCAAGAAUAUUAAUCAGAUAUUAAAUGAGAUAAUAUACAUUUAAUCUAGUCCGUGGAACCCUGUAAGCAUGCAGCAACUGCGAGCUAUUAUGGCAGAUGCUGUUGCUAGCCCACCCACAUCCUCUUGGUAUUUGUCUCUACAUUCUCAACCUGUUUAUAGAAAACAUUCGUGACUCUCUGUAGUCAAGAUAGCAUGCUCAGCUCUCAUACAGGGCAGAGCAGAAGUUUCUGAGAUGUAAUCAGUCUCCCAAGAAGCGACACUCAGACAAUGACCAAUGGAGAGUCAGUGGAUGAAUACCCCUUGUUAGGAAUAACUCUGAACCCUAUUCUAGAGUGUGGACAGCAUAGAAUCUCUUAUUGUCUCCCAGACUUCCCCAGCAGGCUGUAACAUCAGUUGCCCGCAAUGGUAAUUGGCUUGGCAGAUACCUUCUGUCAGCUCCUUUGCCUUCCCUAACUUACUCUCCACUCUCUUUUAUGUAUUUCCUGGGAUCGUUUCCCAAAACUACUUGGAUUCUUGUCUCCGGGUUGGCUUCUGGAGGACUCUAAAACCAUAACUGCUCUUAUCACUACAGCUGACUUCUUUGAAACCAUGAAAAUACUGCUUUAUUUGCAUUCGUCUUCUGCUAGUUAGAGUCUACCUUCAUAAAACCUAAAAUCCAACAAAAAAUUAAGACCAAAAUACAAAUAUUUCUCACAGUACCUCUCACAUAGAAGUUACUCAAUCUGUAUUUAGAGAGCAAAGAAUAAUGGGAGAUCAAAAGAUUACUCUGUGACUAUAAAAAUAGAGCGAGGACUAUUGAUUGGUUACUAAGAAUAUUUUACAAACUUUUAUGGUUUGACACACCCUUUUAAUGGUGGUAUGUCUACCUAAUAUAUCUGCACCUUCCCAAAAUCCCCUCCCCUCGAUGUCAGCAUCAGGACUCCCCUCCUCCUCUAGCUAGAUUUGAGAGACACUUGCCAUUAUCUCAUCAUUAUUUUAUCAUGUUAAUGUACUUGUGUAACCUUUUAUAUUUUCUAAAUAUGAAAAAUAUUUUACAGAGAUUACAUUUGACGCAGCUGCUUCCUGAAGACCUAGAGAUCACUUUAAUCUUACAAGCACAUUCUUCAGAUUGUCGUGUGGGUGGGUAACUUCCGCCAGACUUUUCUGGAGAUGGCUAAUCCAGCCGUGGGAUGUGGUUUCUUCUAACAGCCAGUCAGGAAAAUCUUGCUUCUCAAACUCCUGUCUUGACCCCUUCCUGAACUUUGCCUCCUGGAUCUUGAGGUCUGCCUUCUGUGGAAGAGAAAUACUAGAAUCAAUGAACUGUGAACUAGAGCCCUGGGAUUAUCAACAGCCAGCUGAAAUUUUGAGAGCCACCUUAUAGAAAGCCUAACAGCAAAGACUGGAGAGAGGCUUCCAGCCAACAGCCAGCAAGGAAUUGAAGCCCUCAGUCCAAUAGCAGUGAGGAAUUGAAUCCUGCCAACAGCCUCGUGGAUGGGUUGCUUGCUGCCUGAAUCUAACUCCUGCUACUACUGCAAAUACCACUGCCAUGAAUAUCCUCAGCAAGACCCCCUUCCAGACCUGCAUGAACAACCGACUGCUUCAUGCUGGGCUUCAGACAUGAGAGGCUAGGAGUAGGAGGCAUGCCUUGUUCAAAGAUACCCAGUUCUCCCAGGACCAUUUGUUGAAAAGGCAGGCACCUCAUUUUACAGAAGAGGAAACUGAGGCCCAGAAAGAGAAGUGGCAUGCCCAAGGCUGUGCCAGAAGCAAAGUGUAAAAUAGAUCCUGAGCCUCCGACUCCUGGUCUUAAAUGUGGGAAAUAGUCUACAGUUUGGAAGACACCAGAGAAAAAUGCUCCACAGCUCGCCCUGGUGACUCACUACAACUUAUGGGAAGAUGUGAGAUUAUUCUGUAUUCUAAUGUAUGUUAGAAGGCACACUCCACCCAAAGCCUUCCUGUGUGUUCCUCCCUGUGAGCUCACAUCCCGUUCACCAGCUGACUGGGAAGGGAAGUCAGGACCAGCCCUGACCCCAUCACACCAUCAUAACCUCGGGAUGGCAGGGCUGGAAGGCACCUCAGACGUCAUCCUUUGCAGACUCUUCAUUUUACAGUGAGAGGCAUGACGUGUCCACAGCUGGUUAGUGCCAAAGCCUGGGACAGGCUUCACAUUGUCCAGCUCUUAGUCAGAGCACUGUUGACAAUGUCUGCCUUCACUUGGAAUUCAGCACCUGCUUUCAGUAUAAACCCCUGCAUUUCACUAAAACUGAGCAGACUGCUGGUUUAAAAAAGAGAGGUCCAUCCAGCAGGGAUGAUGCUUUUCCUCGUUGAAAGAGGACAUUCACCUAAUGGGAGACCUGGAGUCAGAAUCUUUCUGAUGUGUGACUUGGCACAGUAACACAAUGCAGGAUGCUGGUGUGUUAAUAAAAAUAAAAAUUGCAUCGCCUACCUCAGAGUCGACAACAAUGUCAAGGAGUUAAUAGUCUUGGCAACACAGAGGCCACUGGACAGAGGCAUAACCUUGCGUGGCAGCUGCACGGGAAUUGGAUUUGGCUCAGGUGUUUCAGAUGACUAAGUUGGGAGCAUUUGACAAUUUUAGAUGUGGGAUGAAAAUUGCCUUAUCUAAGACAUAGGGCACCUGCAGAAGUAAAGAGAAACAGAACAAAGGGGACCACUCUUGGUAUAGAAGUUCAUCUCGUCGGGAGCAUCUGUGGUUCUUUUAUAAGCAAUGUACAUUCUACAAUAGAGGCAGACCCAGAAAUAAUUCAGAUAUUGGAGUUAGAAGAUCAGGAUUCUAAAAAAACCAAAAGAUCCUGCCUUACUAUGCACCUAUGGCCCUUCAAAGGCGAGAGUAGAAUCUGCUAUGAUUUAGAAGCAAGCAAUAAAAAGUACACAUCAGGUGAGUGGAUGCUAGCUAAGACCUUGGGCUUUGGGGUCAGACAGGCCUGGGUUUAAAUCCUGGCCCUGUCAUUCUGGGGAAACAUGUUUCUGCUUUCUCCUAUAUGAAAUAGAGGCAGUGGGUAUCCUGAACAUGUCACCUUUACUUGUCCAGCUUGUCAGUUAGGGUUUGGUUAGGGAAACAGAGCUGCUGUAAACAUUAUGGGAAUAAGGGAUUUUAUUCAGAAUUGGAGCCUGCACAGAUGUAGAAGGAGGCAUGAAGAGGGUAUUGGAGGAUUGCCCACUAUGCAGUCUGCAUCCUGAGUCUGUGGUGAGGCUGGACACGUUCAAGCUUACAGGAGAACUGGAGAAAGCAAGCAACACAGCGGUGGAAGUGAGACCACUGAAGCAGGGACAAGAGUGGAGGAGACAAACUGGACUCGGAACAAACUGGGAGCCUCUGCAUCCAUCCGUAACUGUCUGGCCGUGACAGUGGUUAGAGAGGAGUGGCUUCUGUGAAACUCUCACAAUCUCAAAUCUCCCACAAGUGCCUCUUUCAGCUAACUCUAAACUGGUACCAUAGAGGAAAUGGAUUCUGAAAACUUGGUCUCCAACCUUAGACAAAUUGAAUAAUUAAUAUGUCCUCUCCUGCUUCUUCUGUAACUGAAUUUGCAUUGGGAAGCAGGCCUGUCACUCUCAGACUUUGUGGUUUGAGUAGGGCUCACUUCAGCACCACCUUUUCCUCUUCUCAGCCCCACGGACUGGCAUGAGACUCAGGCCUGGCCAACUGAAUGUCACACACCUAUGACCAUCAGUUGGCUCAGAGAUGGACUCAGGACACCAUCACAGCCAAUGAAACCCUGUUAGGGAAAUUUGUCAGAACCAUACAAAGAAAUAGCUCCACUUUUCCAUAGAGAUGAGACAUAAGCCUGGACUAACUGGUGUCCAAUUUGCCAUCAAGAGAGCAUCUGAGAAGACAGAGGAAAACUGGGGAAAGCGAAGUCUAAGGAAGGUGAGUAAGGACAAGUCCAGUUGAUAUUACAUGAAUCACCUGGACCUGGAAAUCAAGGCAUUGCUGGAUUCAAGGCCAAGAAAAAUUGGAAGCUGGCUUGAAUCAGGUUCUAUCACUUGCAGUUGAAAAGGUCCAGACUAAUAUGAUAACAAAGGAGCAAGUAAGCAAGAUUCUGCCCUACAGUAAGUGCUCAAUGCAUGUCAGCUGGUAUUAUUAUUAUACAGACUUCUAUUUCUAGCCCUUUUAUUUCUACCACCUCUCUUCUGUGUUUUAUGUAAAGUGCAUAAGGAUUGUUCUGUUUGGAAACAUCAAACCAUAUAAAAUGACACCAGCAGGUCCCUUUCUGUCUGUCAGUGUCCACAAGCUCAACAACCAGGAUCAGCAGACAAAAACAGCUAAGCUGGAGUCAGUGUUUUUAUGAAGAAACAGGAAAAGAACUUACUUGGGAACUGUAGCUCAUCCUCCAAUAUUCUCCAUCCUAUCACUCUUUUCAUGACAGUUUCUUCUUGGCCCUGAAGUUGCCUUGUCAUGGCUCCCUGCCUCUGUCCUUUCUCUGUCUCACUUACAUCUUCCAAUGAGGAAUACAGCAAGACCUUUGGAUGAGGACCUCCAAAGGUCCUCAGUAUCCUUAGGACACUCGGUGCAGAACUAGAGGGACUGAGAGGAGGAGCUUUUGCAGGUUAAAUGACUAGUGAAUGGCCUUUCCUUAUAUUUCCAUUAGAAAUGGGAUUAGCUACACCUGAGAAGGAAUGACUUUGGAACAACUGAUCCCUAGCUUUCCAAAAUAUGAGAAAUUGAGAUGCAGGGAGUAGUAAGCACCUAGUUAAUGAGUCAAAGCAUAUUUAUAAAGUUCACAGGGUACAUAGCAUAUAGCAGCUGUUCUCUAUCUCAGUUGAGUUUUGACUAGGAAAUGGGCUUAGGAUAAAACACAUAGGCUUUUGAGUAAUCAUUUGUAAGAAAUUGUAGAUAGUGACCACAGUUUAAUAGCAUUAGAUAAAUUAUGAAAAGUCACUGAAAUACCUUCUCUGGAAAAUGUUAGAAGCUCAAGUACAAUGGCUUAGUUAAAGGCAGGUGGGGGAGAAACUUGAAGAAUGUGGUCCAGUACAAGAAUACCCCAUUUUUCCCCUAAGGCAAUGAAAAUGACAUGAAGUAAUCAUAGUUAUUUAUACAGGAACAAUUUAGGAGACUUAGAAUAUUCACUUCUUUUGCCUUCUAGCUGAGCAUCAAAAUUCUCUCUCUGUCUCUGCCUCUCUCUCUCUAUUUUCCACUUCUAGCUCCAACUAUUUUAAAUCCCUCCCCCAAUAGAACUCAUAACAAACAUAAAACAACAUUUGUUGUAUGUUUACAAUAGAUGUUCAAGCUAAUAUUUAUGUAGGCUUAGCCCUGGCAUUAAAUUAAGGUUUGGUUCACCAACAGGGUGCCUAGAGACUUCACCUCUAUUUCCAUGAGGGACUGAACAGCCUCUUGAGAAGGGACUCAUCAAAAUGGAAGAGUUGGCAAUAAGAAGUUUGGCUAAAUAACCAAGCACUGAAGUUGCAGAGGAGAAAGGAUUUGAAAGGCAGUACAGUGUCCAGGGGCAAGUUGGCAAUUUUUAGCAGGAGGUGAAGUGAUGCCAGCAGAGGUAACAGUGCUCAGAGGGACCAGUAGUCCCCAGGAGGAGCAGGGGAAUCCCCAGUGGAUCUGAUUUGUUCAAGAGCACAUGUGAGAUUAUCAGCUGGCGUUACAAUUUUGGAGUGGCAGUGAGAAGCAGUGAAUUUGAGGUCACUCAAUUUGCAGACCCCAAAGGGUGAAAUGUUGAGAAACAUGAGUUACACAUGUAUUUAACAGCUCUUGUGUAUUAUCACAAAUCCUAUUUCACCUCUCAUGCCCCCGAGGCUUUGGUGUCCAGUUCUCUGAAGACUUCAUCAAUCCUCAGCCAUAAAUCACCUGAGAGCAACUCACCUUGCUUCAUACUAUGAAGCUCCCUGAUGUCACAGCAUGGCAGGCCUGUGGCAACCCCUCAACACUUAUGCAUGAUCCCAAACAGCUAGAGGAUUAACACCUACGGUGUAACCCUUGACCAGCAGGAAAUGGAAAUUACUGUCUUUUUGUCCCCGCAGGUGAAUGGUUCUAAAAUGCAUUUUAUAAGCCUUCUGAAAUAGUCCCACAGGUCAAGCACCUACUUGCUCCAGUGGUGACCAACUCAAUGAUGCAUCCUUGGGUUGACUCUCCCUCCUUUCCAGUUCACUUUCCCCGCCCCUCACUCCUGCACCUCAGCAUCACAUUCCUGAAUAAACCACUCACACAUCUGUCUUAUUUCAGACUCUGUUUGGGGGAAUCCACAAUAAAAAUUUGUCAUUUUGAGUUAAACAUUGCUCUCACCUUGAAGACAUAUUUCCAUACCUAGAGAUUUCUGAAGUUCUCUCCCUUUUCCUAUCAUCUCCUUUGUGCUUUGUCUGACCUCCAUGUUACAGAGCCCCAUGAUAUUUAGAGCCAGUACUGCUAGGGAAGUAGUUCAGUUGUGUUUUAAAUGGUUCAGCAACUUGUAACAUCAACUGAGAACCAGAGGAAUACACUUGGAGGCCAAGAAAAAAAUGUUAGCUAAUAUGUACCAUACAGUAUGAUUCCUUGGGUAAGGGAAAGUAUAUGCAAGUGACAGAGGAAAAUUGAAAGUUGUAGCCCUUUUUUGGACUUUAGAUUUGGAAUUAAAGUUUCUCUUCUCUUGAAAGACCUUCUUUUUGUGGAUAAUGAUGAAUCUGAAGACCAGAACAGUGGGCCAAUUUGCCUUAGUUGAGAGUGGCAAAUAAAUGAAGAACUGAAGAACGUAUCUCUUUAACUAGUGCUCCUUUGUUGAGAAGAUACAAAACAAACAAUUGAAGGGUAUGGAUGAAGCCAUUGGCUUAUUCAUGUCUCUGUUGAUCAUAAUGAGAUUAAUAUAUAUAGGACAUUCACACAAAGAGGAUAUUGACUCGAUGGCUUACAGAUUAUUAGAGUUAGAAAUGUGACCUACUACUAAAGGAAGAAUGUUUCAGGUGUGGAUCUCUGAUUUAAAAAAUACACCACACUUGCCUCAGUGAAGCAAGUCAACUUAGGUGCUGAUACAAUGCCACUGCAGCUGUGCUGAGUUCAUGAAAUCAGAUCCCACUCUCUUCACCUACCCCUACCGUAUUCAUCCUACUUUCCGUCUGCUCUGCCCUUCCCAUUUGGUAACCUAGUCAUGAAACACCUGGCUCUGGGUCCUUCCUUCAGCAUCACUCCACGUUGUACUGCUGGCAUCGCUUUUCUUGGCACAGAACCUCUUAGGGCUGCUAUCCUAGGAGUAGGUGCUACUCAGGCUGGCUUAGUCCCAGGCUUCACUCACUUCUUGGCCCAUGGCCAGGAGGACCGGAAAGAACAAACUCUCUGCACAUCUCUGCAGGUGGCCACAGAGCCCCCAUCUGAGCCUUGCUGAUGGAGAAGAGCAUGCUGCAUCACAAGAUAACUGUGUGGCUCUGUUCAAAAACCUUGUUUAGAAGUUAUUAUUUCUUUUAUUGCAUUAGAAUUUGCCUCACUGUAGCUUUUGUGCUUCUGUCCUGGUUCAGCCUUAGAUAGCAGUGCAGCCUGGUCCAUGUGAAAGCUCUUGCAAUAGGCCUUUCUGCUAGUCAGGAGUUCUCAGACCCAUCCCUACUCUUCACUUUUCUCAAGACUAAUAUCAGACUCCUGGGCUCUUCAAGGUUUCCUCAUAUGAUAAAAGUUCUAAGCCCUCCAUUGUCCUAGUCACUGUCCUCUCUGUUCCAUCCCUGUCUGCCCUUCCAAGAUGCUGCACCUGGAGAUGAAUUUGUCCUUCCUGGGGCAAGUCACCAUGAGAUGAUUACUUUUGGAUCAUACUGAAUUUGUGGGUUAAAUAAACUCAUAGGUCUUUAUCUCAUGCACUAAAUCCAAAUUCGAUCUCUUGCCGUAAAUCAUUUUUUUGAAUAGCUGAACAAUAAGUAAAUAAUACACAAAUGAAAACUAAUCAAUAUUUGAACAUCCUCAGUAUUUUCAGCCCUAGUUUGAGCCAGACAUAGCUCAUCUUGUAUACUUCACUAAGGACACUUUAUACGAUCAAGCAAUUAAUAUUAUGAUGUCAUGUCUCGCAAGCCCCAUAGUGUCACUUCCAGUCUCUUCACCACAAAGAACGUUGAAGCCUUCGUAUUUUUUUGAAAAUCAUAUUUCUAGCUGCAGGAUGGGAUGUAAGAAAAGUUCAGAUUAGGAUUAUUCUAGGCUCCUGACUAUAACUAAAAUCCUGAUUUUUUAUGGAAAGGAAUGAGGAUCAUUCCUUCAAAUUAGAUUUUUGUGAUAAAAAGAAAAAAGUUGGUAAUCUAUUCAAAAUUGUAACAAAAAUAACUGCAUUUUUCUUUGGAAAAUAAUAGUUGAUUCCUUUUUGCUUUUUUUACUUAUGAAUUGGGGUGCAAUAGAGUUUAAUAAAAAUGAUGUGAAACACUCUUAUAAGGCUAAUUUAUCACAUUUGCUUCAAGGAAUUGUCCUUUCUAACAAAAUUGUGAAAUGGAACUGAACAGUAGCAUGAUGAGGCCUCUACCAGGAGGAGGUACAGAACAAGGCAGGAGGUCAGUGGUUAAAGGACUCCUUGCUUAUGCUCAAGAAAUGUGGACCUUAUUAGAGGUGACACAGUGAAAUCAGUCACCUGAUUUCGCAGGUGACUGUGGAGCAAGAAUGCAAAUCCACAAUAUUAGGAUGAAUGUGAGAGGAGAAGGGAAGGAGGCCAUGAGGGAAAAAAGGACAUCUAAUUGGGUCUGAAAGGAAGGGUAGAAUUUAAGUAAAGAGCACUGUGUACAUAUGGGAAUACCAUGUACUUUCUCAUGGAGAGAGGCCUUCUGACAGUCCUGCAUUGAUCCUGCUUCUUUGACCAUCCCUUGUUAGCCAGCAGGUCAUUUGGCCUCACUAGUUGCCUCAGUGCUGAGUGAUAGACUCAGCAGUCCCCAGCCUCUUUGGCACCAGGGACUGGUUUUGUGGAAGAUAAUUUUUCCAUGGAUCAGGGAGAGGAUGGUUUCAGGAGGAUUUAAGUGCAUUACAUUUACUGCGCACUUUAUUUCUAAUAUUAUUACAUUGUAAUCUAUAAUGAAAUAAUUAUACAAUUCACCAUAAUGUAGAAUCAGUGGGUGCCCUGAGCUUGUUUUCCUGCAACUAGAUGGUCCCAUCUGGGGGUGAUGGGAGACAGUGACAGAUCAUCAGGCAUUAGAUUCUCAUAAGGAAUGCACAACCUAGAUUCUUCACAUGUGCAGUUCACCAUGAGGUUCACGCUCCUAUGAGAAGCUAAUGCCUCCGCUUAAACGACACAGGAGAUGGAGCUCAGGUAGUAAUGAGUGAAAUGGGGAGCAGCUGUCAAUACAGAUGAAGCUUUGCUUGCUUGCUUGCCGCUCACCACCUGCUGUGCAGCCUGGUUCCUAACUGGUACUGGUCAGUGGCCUGUGGUUGGGAACUCCUGGUAGACUAACAACAGAACAAAGCCAAGUCUCAAGGAGAGACAGUUGUAUAGAUGCCUUCCUGCCCAUUCUCUGUUGUGGGGGCCAAAUCACACAAGACCUGCAUUUAAUUCUUUAUGGGCUUAGGCUGUGAAUUAAUGUAAAAUCUCAAGAAACCAAGAUGACAGGCCAGGGACUAAAGAGCAAAAGAAAGACCACAGCUAUGGUGGGCGAGGAGACAAAGUCAAUCCCACCGGGACAGAUGGUGAUGACCCUUAUCAGUUCUAUUCUGUCAUCUCAUAAAGGUAAAGACUUGUGUUCUUUUUCUUAGGACAGUCCAGAUGGUAUUGGCUGUGCUUAAAGAAAAUUCAGACAUGUGUGAGUGUGGCUGGAAUUGACAUUCAUGAGGUCUUCCGUUUUUAUUUGAAAGGGGCAGAGUAAGUAUUUGUGAACAUUGGAUGGUGAUGAAGAAAAGGAAAUGGUGUCUAGUAUCCUACCUGGCCUCAUGGACCAAGACUAGAAGGAUUAGAGGCAAAGUCGAAGGAAGCUGCCACCAUAAAGGGUUCUGUGAAUGCUGUUUGGCUGAAAUGUGUGACAAAGCACUGGGAAGGGUUUCAUUGCAUUAGCUCAGGCCAUAGCACGACCCUUAACCAACACCUUAAGGUGAUGGUCCCCUUGGCAUAAAUAUUGGUGUUAAAAUCGAGGUUAACCUUAGUGAUAGUAUGGUUAAGAGUCCCCUGCAUGACUUUGGAAGUUGAAGAUGCUGAUCAGGAGAACUAGAGCAGGAAAGAGAAAAUAUGACUGAGGCUAAGUGGUGACUUGGUAUUGACUGAUAGGUGAACACAGGAAUGAAUUUCAGCGAGAACCCCCAGUAACUGUCUGGGGAGUGGAGACUGUGUAUGAACAGGACAGAAAAAAAAGCAGAUUCGGGUAGUGUCCUGUCGUGUGUCUCUUUUACAGUCCUGAAAUGAAGGACUUUCAGUGUUUUCAUUGAGCACCAAUCAAUUCCCUCUUUACAAAAGACCAUAUUGGAACAGCAUCAAGGUUUAGGGAUAUUAAAGCAAUACAGUGACACUGGAAUGACCACUGAGAACCAGCGAACUUCUUCAGCCCUUAUAUCCUCAGGCACUCUGGAAGCCAUGAAUCUGGUUUUCUUGCUAAACUGUGUGUACUGCACAGAGUACAAUGGUAAAGGAACAAAUAUUGGCUCUAAAAUCUCUUGUAAAGGGAAGGGUGGUCAUCCCUUUAGAUGGCAAAUUGAGUUUCUGUAAUGGGGUUUGCUCUGAUGUUGCAUUUCCACUCAGGCAUCAAGACAUUCUGUUGUUUAAAGCCCUAGAUGGGUGAUAUUUCUUUCAUGUGCAAGGCCCGAAUGCUUCACUGAGCUCUCUCUUACCCACACACACUCAUUUAAACCUUGGUCAAAAUUAUCCUUUAGCAUCUGCAUCUUCUCAGAAGGCGGAAGGGUCAAUGGGGAUAAUCAGGAGAGAUGAGGUGCACUUUCAGAAGUUGGAGCUGAGAAGGUGAUGGAAGUAUCUGUAAAGUCGUUGAACAGCUGCACGAACUAUAGGGGAAGCAUUUCUGGAGGCAAAAGGGGAAUAGCCCUUUCCUCUUAAACCAAAGCGAGCACAGCUCCAAAGGCACUUAGAUGGAGAGUUCAUCGGAAUGUGAGCUCUAAGAGUGGCUGAGAAUCUGACAAAAACAGCCAUCUGCCAACCCAAAAUUAAAACUCCUCUGUUUAGCACCCAGUAGAGAAAGUCAACCAGAUUGACUUCGCAAACAAAGGACCUUAAAAGCAUCACCUAAGAAAGUGUGUCAGGAUCCACAGACAUCCAGAGCAUUCUCUAUGGUUCAUUACUUACAUUAUUCUUAUCUAUUUACACAUAAUGUUUAGAUGUAAAAUCCUUACAAUGAAAAGGGUGUAUAUGCUUUAAAAAAGGCACAACAGGGAUCUAGAACUAGAAAUACCAUUUGACCCAGCCAUCCCAUUACUGGGUAUAUACCCAAAUGAGUAUAAAUCAUGCUGCUAUAAAG